AACAUCUAUACGUCUGUACAAAAGUAUUUUUUUGAACAAAACUACUUAUUUCAAUCCGCUCAAAAUUUAUUUAAUACUGAAAUUGUCCGUGCAUGACCUAAAUAAGUGUUACUAUUUUUAAACUAUAAACAUCGUACAUUUAUGCUUUGGCUUGUGUUGUCAAAUCGGCAUUAAUGGCCAUUUAAUAUCAGGUUCAACAUGGACACGAUUGAUUUCAUUCAAGAUAGAGCACUUUGUCGACGGGAAAUCCAAUCAAGAAAACACUGACCCUCAAGCAGCUACUGUAUUUGACCAGCUCACACCAGCUAGGCCUCCUCCAAAACUCAGAUAAAUAUUUGAGCCACCAAAACAAAACGAGAACAGAUCGGUCUGAAUCGUUAAGAACUGAAGCUAACAUCAUAGAGGUACA